ensembl:processed_transcript Sox21os1 predicted gene 4675
UUCUUAGGGAUCCUCCACCUCAGGGGAUCUGAGGUAGCUCGUGUGGUAUUCUCACCUAUGUCUCUAGUGUGGACUUUGCAGCUAGGCCAAUAGUAGCCAUGGACUCUGAGCCUUUUGAGUCUGCGGUGUUACCCUCAUCCUAUGUGCGCUGACUGGAGAAAGAGUCUCCAGGUCUCUCUGCACUUCCUCAGAGUUUACUCUCCCAUGGCAGAAGGGCACAUGCCAUGGCGGCCUCUCUUACAGAAGCACCAGAACCCUUCACUGGCAGAUGAGAGCAAGAAUCCUUCAUUUUCUUCAUAACCACAGAUGCUCGGGGAACUCCCUCACAAGGUCUUCCCACAGUGGUCUUGUUAGCUCCGUGGAACCAAAUCAACACAAGAAAACCA